rnacentral:rRNA from 1 species
UGAUUUGAGUUCAGACCGGUGAAAACCAGGUCGGUUUCUAUCUUUUUUAAAAAUGUACCAGUACGAAAGGACCUUACAACUUACUAAAAAU